rnacentral:rRNA from 1 species
CGCGAACGUUCCCUUCGGGGAACAAGUAGAGUGGCGAAAGGGCGAGGAAUACAUGGGUAACGUGCCUCGAGCACGAGGACAGCCGGGGGAAACUCCGUGUUAAUACUCGAUAAGACCACAGCACCGCAGGGUGCAGGGGUCAAAGGGUGGGGACCUUCGGGCCUGCCGGCUCGAGAGCGGCCCAUGUCCUAUCAGCUUGUUGGUGGGGUAACGGACUACCAAUGCUACGACGGGUACCGGGACUGAGAGGUUGACCCGGCGCAUCGGGACUGAGACACUGCCCGGACUCCUACGGGAGGCUGCAGUAACGAAUAUUGGGCAAUGGGCGAAAGCCUGACCCAGCGACGCCGCGUGUGGGAAGAAUGCCUUCGGGUUGUAAACCACUGCCAGGGAUUACCAACCAACCGGUGUGAAUAGCGCCGGGAGUUGAGGAGUCCCAGAGGAAGUCACGGCUAACUUCGUGCCAGCAGCCGCGGUAAUACGAAGGUGGCUAGCGUUGUUCGGAAUCACUGGGCUUAAAGAGCACGUAGGCGGAUGAUCAAGCGUCUUGUGAAAGCCCUCGGCUCUACCGGGGAAUUGCUUGGCGAACUGAUCAUCUUGAGGCAGGUAGGGGCGAGUGGAACUCUUGGUGGAGCGGUGGAAUGCUUAGAUAUCAAGAGGAACGCCAGAGGCGAAGGCGACUCGCUGGGCCUGACCUGACGCUGAGGUGCGAAAGCCAGGGGAGCGAACGGGAUUAGAUACCCCGGUAGUCCUGGCCCUAAACGAUGUCCACUAGGUCGGUAAGGUUCUAAUGCUUUGCUGGCCGAGACAUAAGCGUUAAGUGGACCGCCUGGGGAGUACGGUCGCAAGGCUAAAACUCAGACGAAUUGACGGNGGCUCACACAAGCGGUGGAGCAUGUUGCGUUAUUCGAUGCAACGGCGAAGGACCUUAUCCUGGGCUUGACAUACACGGAAUGCCCUCGUGGAAACAGGUCGGGUGCCCUUCGGGGUGAAACGUACACAGGUGCUGCAUGACUGUCGUCAGCAUCGUGUCGUGAGAUGUUGGGUUAAGUCCC